UCCUGACUGACCGAUAGUGAACCAGUACCGUGAGGGAAAGGCGAAAAGAACCCCGGCGAGGGGAGUGAAAAAGAACCUGAAACCGUGUACGUACAAGCAGUGGGAGCCUCUUUAUGGGGUGACUGCGUACCUUUUGUAUAAUGGGUCAGCGACUUAUAUUCUGUAGCAAGGUUAACCGAAUAGGGGAGCCGAAGGGAAACCGAGUCUUAACUGGGCGUUAAGUUGCAGGGUAUAGACCCGAAACCCGGUGAUCUAGCCAUGGGCAGGUUGAAGGUUGGGUAACACUAACUGGAGGACCGAACCGACUAAUGUUGAAAAAUUAGCGGAUGACUUGUGGCUGGGGGUGAAAGGCCAAUCAAACCGGGAGAUAGCUGGUUCUCCCCGAAAGCUAUUUAGGUAGCGCCUCGUGAAUUCAUCUCCGGGGGUAGAGCACUGUUUCGGCAAGGGGGUCAUCCCGACUUACCAACCCGAUGCAAACUGCGAAUACCGGAGAAUGUUAUCACGGGAGACACACGGCGGGUGCUAACGUCCGUCGUGAAGAGGGAAACAACCCAGACCGCCAGCUAAGGUCCCAAAGUCAUGGUUAAGUGGGAAACGAUGUGGGAAGGCCCAGACAGCCAGGAUGUUGGCUUAGAAGCAGCCAUCAUUUAAAGAAAGCGUAAUAGCUCACUGGUCGAGUCGGCCUGCGCGGAAGAUGUAACGGGGCUAAACCAUGCACCGAAGCUGCGGCAGCGACGCUUAUGCGUUGUUGGGUAGGGGAGCGUUCUGUAAGCCUGUGAAGGUGUGCUGUGAGGCAUGCUGGAGGUAUCAGAAGUGCGAAUGCUGACAUAAGUAACGAUAAAGCGGGUGAAAAGCCCGCUCGCCGGAAGACCAAGGGUUCCUGUCCAACGUUAAUCGGGGCAGGGUGAGUCGACCCCUAAGGCGAGGCCGAAAGGCGUAGUCGAUGGGAAACAGGUUAAUAUUCCUGUACUUGGUGUUACUGCGAAGGGGGGACGGAGAAGGCUAUGUUGGCCGGGCGACGGUUGUCCCGGUUUAAGCGUGUAGGCUGGUUUUCCAGGCAAAUCCGGAAAAUCAAGGCUGAGGCGUGAUGACGAGGCACUACGGUGCUGAAGCAACAAAUGCCCUGCUUCCAGGAAAAGCCUCUAAGCAUCAGGUAACAUCAAAUCGUACCCCAAACCGACACAGGUGGUCAGGUAGAGAAUACCAAGGCGCUUGAGAGAACUCGGGUGAAGGAACUAGGCAAAAUGGUGCCGUAACUUCGGGAGAAGGCACGCUGAUAUGUAGGUGAAGUCCCUUGCGGAUGGAGCUGAAAUCAGUCGAAGAUACCAGCUGGCUGCAACUGUUUAUUAAAAACACAGCACUGUGCAAACACGAAAGUGGACGUAUACGGUGUGACGCCUGCCCGGUGCCGGAAGGUUAAUUGAUGGGGUCAGCGCAAGCGAAGCUCUUGAUCGAAGCCCCGGUAAACGGCGGCCGUAACUAUAACGGUCCUAAGGUAGCGAAAUUCCUUGUCGGGUAAGUUCCGACCUGCACGAAUGGCGUAAUGAUGGCCAGGCUGUCUCCACCCGAGACUCAGUGAAAUUGAACUCGCUGUGAAGAUGCAGUGUACCCGCGGCAAGACGGAAAGACCCCGUGAACCUUUACUAUAGCUUGACACUGAACAUUGAGCCUUGAUGUGUAGGAUAGGUGGGAGGCUUAGAAGUGUGGACGCCAGUCUGCAUGGAGCCGACCUUGAAAUACCACCCUUUAAUGUUUGAUGUUCUAACGUUGACCCGUAAUCCGGGUUGCGGACAGUGUCUGGUGGGUAGUUUGACUGGGGCGGUCUCCUCCUAAAGAGUAACGGAGGAGCACGAAGGUUGGCUAAUCCUGGUCGGACAUCAGGAGGUUAGUGCAAUGGCAUAAGCCAGCUUGACUGCGAGCGUGACGGCGCGAGCAGGUGCGAAAGCAGGUCAUAGUGAUCCGGUGGUUCUGAAUGGAAGGGCCAUCGCUCAACGGAUAAAAGGUACUCCGGGGAUAACAGGCUGAUACCGCCCAAGAGUUCAUAUCGACGGCGGUGUUUGGCACCUCGAUGUCGGCUCAUCACAUCCUGGGGCUGAAGUAGGUCCCAAGGGUAUGGCUGUUCGCCAUUUAAAGUGGUACGCGAGCUGGGUUUAGAACGUCGUGAGACAGUUCGGUCCCUAUCUGCCGUGGGCGCUGGAGAACUGAGGGGGGCUGCUCCUAGUACGAGAGGACCGGAGUGGACGCAUCACUGGUGUUCGGGUUGUCAUGCCAAUGGCACUGCCCGGUAGCUAAAUGCGGAAGAGAUAAGUGCUGAAAGCAUCUAAGCACGAAACUUGCC
rnacentral:rRNA from 1 species